rnacentral:rRNA from 1 species
AUUGAACGCUGGCGGCAGGCCUAACACAUGCAAGUCGAGCGGAUGAAGGGAGCUUGCUCCUGGAUUCAGCGGCGGACGGGUGAGUAAUGCCUAGGAAUCUGCCUGGUAGUGGGGGAUAACGUCCGGAAACGGGCGUUAAUACCGCAUACGUCCUGAGGGAGAAAGUGGGGGAUCUUCGGACCUCACGCUAUCAGAUGAGCCUAGGUCGGAUUAGCUAGUUGGUGGGGUAAAGGCCUACCAAGGCGACGAUCCGUAACUGGUCUGAGAGGAUGAUCAGUCACACUGGAACUGAGACACGGUCCAGACUCCUACGGGAGGCAGCAGUGGGGAAUAUUGGACAAAGGGCGAAAGCCUGAUCCAGCCAUGCCGCGUGUGUGAAGAAGGUCUUCGGAUUGUAAAGCACUUUAAGUUGGGAGGAAGGGCAGUAAGUUAAUACCUUGCUGUUUUGACGUUACCAACAGAAUAAGCACCGGCUAACUUCGUG